rnacentral:rRNA from 1 species
CAAUUUUUUUUGUUUGUAGAUUUUAUUAGUAAAUUUAAGUCAAGGUAAGAAUUCUUUGAUGCUUCUAGGGGACGAUAAGACCCUAGAAGCUUUAUACUUAGAGUUUUUAAUAAUGAUGGAGGUGCUAGUAUUUGACUGGGGCGGUGUGAGUGUCUAAACUACUCUUUUUUAGUUUGAUCCCUUAAAUAAGGAUAUUUUGGUUAAGUUACUCUAGGGAUAACAGUGCUAUAUUUUUGGAGAGACCUUAUCGAUAAAAAUGUUUGCAACCUCGAUGUUGAAUUAGAGUGUCUAUAUGAGGCAUAAAGUAUAAAAGAGGGUUUGUUCAACCUUUAAAACUCUACAU